UACGGAGGGGGCUAGCGUUGUUCGGAAUUACUGGGCGUAAAGGGCUCGUAGGCGGCCAACUAAGUCGGACGUGAAAUCCCCAGGCUCAACCUGGGAACUGCGUCCGAUACUGGAUGGCUUGAAUCCGGGAGAGGGAUGCAGAAUUCCAGGUGUAGCGGUGAAAUGCGUAGAUAUCUGGAGGAAUACCGGUGGCGAAGGCGGCAUCCUGGACCGGCAUUGACGCUGAUGAGCGAAAGCUAGGGGAGCAAACGGG
rnacentral:rRNA from 1 species